GUACCGCUGAAAACUUGAGGAGGUCCAAAGCAUCACGAGAAUGGGAGCACGGAUGAGGAGCAUCUUCUUUGAUCCGUCUUUUGCUUAGUACUAUCAUAAUCAUACCAUGUACUGAAUUAUUUGGGUUUAAAAUGGACCAAGUCGUUGUAUUCUAGCUGGCAGUCUACCGCGUGCUAGUUGAGAAUGUAGAACAGCAAUGAUCAGACUAAUAUCAGUGUUAUUGUGCCGCAUUACCGUUGCUAUCGUGCCUGCAUUGGAGUUUCUCGUCUGAAAGGUUCAUGCCAUUUUAUCCGCCGUGCCCUCGAUUUAGCCCCAUGUUUCCUCUGCUUUGAUUACGUUUUGAGUCACUAUGAUUAUGAUGUGUUCUACGGUGUCGCAGUUGUAUCUUGUAUUGCUUUAUGCGGGCACUCCGUUUUACUCCCUCCACCUAAAAAACAGGUCAUUUUACGUAUUGAAUCUGUGUUUUUUAUGGAGGGAGUACGUGGCAGGUGAGCUCCUCCUUCGUGGCAGCCAAUUCGUUCAUUUGGUCAGGCCCAUACUACAAAUAGAGUUAGAGAGUUGUCUCCAUGGUUUAGAGCCCAUAUGCAGCUAGACCUAGACGCGGGCUCGGUUCUUUGAUGGGCUUGAACAUAACUUUAUUGGGUCAGGCCCAUUCCACAAAUAGAUGGAUAGAGAUUUGUCUCCAUGGUCAGAGCCCAGCAAAUGCAGCUAGACGCAGGCUGUUGCUGUGAUGUGCUUGAACUGUACUUUAUUGGGUCUAGCCCAUACUACUAAUAGAUAUAGAGAUUUGUCUCCGCACGGUAAAGCAGCGUGGUGCUCGCAUCGUUGGUAAAACACUGCCGCGCUUGAAAUUUACAGGCAGACUUUCACAUUCACCUUGACAUUUAUGUUCUGGGCUGUCGAGGUUCUGGCUUGCUGCCCGUAAAACUCACGCCUUUACAGGGAAGCUCGUGAUUCUUUACACUUUUACACUUGCAUCCAAUCGCCCAUUGCCGUGGAGGACCACGAGCGCUUGGCAAUCGGACGCCGCGCUCCACCAAUUUCCAAUUCCGCUGCCACGAACAGCGAGCAUGGCUGGACCAGCCACAAGGCGGCCUUCCCCUUUUCAAUCAUGCAGCGGAGCACACGGGCGCGUUUGGUUCGAGGAUCAGGCGAGCCUCGCUCGCAUCUACCAGCCAGGCUGGGCUAGAUCAGACUAACGGCAUGCAGAACUUCAGUGUUUGGUUCACUGCACGAUGAUAUACAGGAUGCAAAAAGCACGUGAUUGGUUGCAACCAAGUUCAACACACAUACAGAUGCAUUUGUUUGGUUGACUACAUGCAAGAGAGUUUGAACAUACGAGGACUUGACUUGGUAAGGUUACCACCUAAUUUUUGGACAUCCCAGAUACUCGUAGAACAUAGAUGAUUACACACGGUUAGAAACUAAAAUUAAUAUGCAAAUAAACUGAGCUAAGAUCAUAACAAACUGCACAAUAAUGAUGGCAUUGAUUCUUUCUCUUGCUUGAUGGCCUUGCAGUCAUCGGGCUCUUCACUUUUGAUGACUUGAUCACCAUGUCUUUUGUGGUAACCUGCAAAAACUUUACCUUUUGUCUUGUAUCCUUUGUAACAAGCUCCUUUGAAGCUAUUGACCUGUGCAUGGCAUUCUUCCUAGGUGGCAAAAACUCCAGUUUGGCGGCCACAAGAAACAACAUGCCAAGUCAUAAUGGCAGUCCUAAAUAUGUAAAAUGACACAGUGAAAACAAAUGAGAUAGAAUAUAUAAUUGUGAACACAAUGUCUGAAAGUAAAGUAAUCAUAGGUAAUGGAUUGUGCUCAGUUAAUGGAUAGAUAGCUCAAAUUCAACAAGCAUGGAUGGUUCAUAUCAUAGGCAAUGGACACAUAGCUCAGAUCAUGCAAGUAUGAAUGGUUCACAUCAUAGGUAAUGGACAUAUAGCUAAGAUCAUGCAAAUAUGAAAUGCUUACAUCAGACGCAAUGGACAGAAAGAAAACUCAGAAUCAACAUGUAAGAAAACAAAAUAGCAAAGGCAAAGGAGAAAUGGUCAUGAAUUAAAGUCAUGGUCAUAACUGCAACCAUGGUCAAGUGUCCAUCACAUCAUAGGCAAUGUAAUUGACUGAUCAGAUACAUCAUCACAGAGCUAAUGCAUAUUCCAAUGUCACUUGAACCACACCUCAAGUUUGUACCACACAGACCUAGAACCACCCAACCAUGAGUUACUGACCUACAGAGACAAGCAUGUUGUCUCAAACCAAAAGAAUUGAAGCAUAGUGUUGCCAGCUCCAGUUAGCUUUGUCCUCCACAAAAUAUUCAUCAAACUGCACAAAAGGAGUAAACAGCAGGAUAGCAGCUUCGCUCCACAAAAGAAAGAUCAGUUAGUAAGCAUGUGAGGAGAUCUACAUGUAGUAGCGCUUGUUCUGAGCCAGAGGGCAUGGUGCUUGGCAUACAGUACCUACUAACUGUCUCCAUAGACCUCCUAAAUGGUUGGUGGAUGACCCUAAAUCUUUGGUUGUGGCCUACAACAUGAAAAUAUAUUGCAACUUGCUCCUCUACACUACUAUGUAUGGUGUCCCUUAGCAAGCUCUUUUCACUUAGAAGGUUACACAAGUUGAAAAAAAAGGAGGUCUACGCAUGCGCAGCAUGCUAACACAUUCUAUAUCAUUACAGUUAUAAAUUUUAUUCAGAUUGGCUUGGUGUUCCUCAUCCAUGACACUUAUUGGGGCACAGGUAAUAUGAGGACAUGAACUUUGUGCCACCCUAAGACUACUCAUGAAGUAUGCAUAAAUAAUAGUAACAAAAGCAGCAGCUUGAGUCACAAGCAUGCGUCUCUGGUCGACCUGGUCCAUCUAUUUCAGUGCGAGAAUGAAAAAGGCAUUGCUCAGAAUAAGAACAAAUUAUAACAAAGGUGCUACUGCUCAACAAUCAUAGACAAGAACAAUAGGCAGUGCUCAUAUAUCACAUUUUUAUCAUGUUAUAAUCAAACAUUAUUGACUAAGGAUAUGUGCUCAUUUAUCAUUGUCUUUUUCAUCUUAUAAACAAUCAUCAUUGGCUAGGAAGUGGAAGAGGGCAAGGGUGAGGAUGGAGGGAGGGUUACGGCAACGGUGAGGAUAUAAAACCAGCAGAUGGCGCGAAAGGAGGGGUAACUCUAGACUUUUCCCCCGUGCGCGCGCCUGCACCGCGCGAGCCAAUUUUUAUAGCCCCCGCGCGCUCCCUCUCGUCCCGCGCGAGCCAGGCUGCCCAGAAACGGAUUUCAUUUACGUUUCCGGCAGAUAGGCUCCGCCGGGCCUUUUGCAUGCCUCAGGUGCCAGGUCGAGUGCAGGCAAAGCAAACUCCCGAAACCUGCGUCCCGUGGACCAGGCUGGGCCAAAUGCAAACCGCCCCAGGUGUCUCGAGAGGAAGCUUCGUCCUCGCCGCGACCCGCGCGGACGAGGACGGGGGAGACGGCGAGCGCCCGGGACAGGUGGGAGUAGCACGUGCUGCGCCUGCACGGGCACGGCGCGCGGCUCGGCUCGGCUGGCACGCCACUGCCGCACCACGGCACCAGCGCAUGCGCACACGCGCGCCAGCCAGCCAGCCAGCCAGGCCCAGGCCCGACCCCGACGCCGAUCCGUCCAAUCGCUGCCGCGAUUUUUAUUGGGGGGCAACCUGGAAUCCGAGCCGCUGAUGCCGUCUCCUCCUCCGGCGAGCCACACCCGCACAGCCAGCCACGUGGGGCCCCCGCCCAUAGCUGUUCCCAGCCUGCCCGGAUGGACUCCAGCAUAAAAGCGGAACAGCGCACGCCUCCACACUCCGUUCACUGCCCUGUGGGGUCUCAGGAAUAUACGGGCCCACGGGCCUCCCAAGUUGCGCGGGUCUUUCUGUGGGCUGGCAGGCAUGAUCGAUCGAAGUAGACCGGAUUAGUUAAUGGGCAACUUGCGGAAUGGAAUAAUGAGGCGUUUAUAAUUUGAUGGAUUCGAGCGGCGGGCCCACCGCCUUCUGUGGACGCAACUUUUAUGUUGAACAACACGAAGAACUCGGGAGAUCUGCUUAACUCCAGUGAUCGAUUCGUGGGUGGUGCAAGGUGUGCCAGUCAAUUUGAUCUAAAAAUUAACAAUGUAAAUAUUAAAUUUCUGAGCCGAUCGAGGGUGAAGCCUCGAGCUUAUGGUUAGGCAUUUUUGAAUAAACACCACAACAGAUAGAUAUUUAAUGUAAGCAUGCGGUGUAAAUACAUGAAACAUUAAUGGCAUAUUCCAUCGGCUAUGUCAGCCGAUGGAGCAUUGUAACACAACAACCAUGAAAGGAGAGCCCUUGUUAACCACGCGCUUAUCAAAUAAGCUAACAGAUCUAACCACUAUCUUAACAAGUGUAUUGAACGGUAACACGAAUGAGAGGGUAUUGACAUCAAUUUACUAACUUAAAAUAUUAGAACAUAGCAACAAGGACCAGCCGAUGCUGACUAUACGCAAGCAAGAUACAUUGACAGAUCUAAUUAAUGUCUCGAUAAGUGUAUUGAACUUAGACAAGGCAACACGAAUAAGAGGGCAUUAACCUCGAUCUGACAACAUGAAAGACUGGAGCACAAUCACCAAAGACCUCUUGCCUACCACUUACAAGCCUAUUAAGGUAACAAAAUCUAAUCAAUGUCAUGACUGUCUAAUUGAACUUAGACCAGGUAACACGGUGAGAGGGUAUUAACUUCGAUCCAUUAAUCUUAACAGACAUGCUCGCGGCAGCAAGGUCUCGCAUGCACUCCCUAUCGGCUCGAUGAUGUCAUCAUGCUUCCGUGAGAUACGAAUAAGAUCCGACCGAAGCAUCGGCUCUUAAUGGUAGCACGCUGACGUCAGAGGUCUGACGGUUAGCAAUACGAGGGGCGGGGGUAAAGAUCUAUCAGACCUAGCAUAUAUAUAAGGCAGUAAAAGCAUGCAGAGUCUACCAGCCAAUACGAUCUGACAACUGUGAACGUCUAAACAAGGCAAGGAAGCCGAUGAAGACAACCUAACCAGCUCUAAGUUAUUUGAUAACUUGAGCAACGUCGAAAACAAGCAGAAUAUUGGACAAAGCCUAGAAAGUUCUACUUGCAAUGUAAGAUAACUCGAUAACUAGCCACUCGACAAUAUCAGAAUAUUAAGGCUUAACUUAGAAAGUUCUGAUAGAGGUCGUAAUGAUCGGGUGACGGUACUUACAAGCUUGCUUAAGAUCGAAGCCGAUGCAUCCUUGCGUGCUAGAAGGAACUCGUCGAAUCUACUCUACUCCUACUCCUAGGAUUUUGGCGAUGUGGCGCCGAAAGAUUGUAUUGAUUGAUUGAUGAUCAUUUAUUACAAUGGCCAGCGAUACAUAUUUAUACCCUUGACUAAUGACUCCUAAUUGAGGCGUACCAAAACUUGUCUAACAAUAAAUAUCUAAACAAAAGAAAAUACUAAGAUACAUGAAUCUCUAAUUUUCCUGAUGUAGAAUCCUUACUAAUGAACCUUACUAAUGAAGUUUUCUUCGAUCUAUCCGUAAAAAGGUCGAUCUUCACGGGUGAUUAACCAGAUUUCCUCCAACGCGUGGCAUGCAAAGUAGACCGAAAUCCAUGCCUUAUAUAUUCUAAUCGCUUUUACCCAUUCGUGUUAGCCCACUUCUCAUGUUUUAGGCUCCUUGUUAUCAACUCAUAUCAUCGUACGUGCAUGUAAUUACAACAUGCAAGUGCACAGCACACAUGCAGCUACACCCGGUACGUGUGCAUGGUCCGGCGUCCUUGCCGCUGGACUAGAGGACGACCUUGACCUGCCGUGUCCGCGCAGAACCUCGUCUUCCUCAAUACGUCGACUCCAACGCAAAACCCGGCAGCCCGCGGCGUCGUCGUUGUCUCGAUACCGUUCUCGCGUUCCGCUAGCCUUAUGGUGUUGUCAUCAUCAGUGGCAUCACGUACCCUCCCUACAUGCACUUUCUUCAUUCCGCCUAUCUCGUCUUUGUGAGAUUUUAUCGGCUAAAAUCCGGUGUCAGCCCCAUCUGCUGGACAGCACAGCAUCUCAGCCUUGCCCUUCUCCCUCCUCUGAUUUUUCCUUCAGAAUAAAAUAGUGCUACAUUCUUUAAGCUCAGGGAUGAGUCAUCGCCAUGCACUGUCACUGUUCAUCCAGCAGUGGCUCCCCGUUUUCUUCGCCGAGUCAGCAGGAGUCGCAGCGCCCGUGCGUGCGUGCCCUCCGUUUCUUUUUAAAUUUCAAUCCUUUCGCACAUGAUGAUGGAUCCGGGGCAUCCGGCUCUCUCGGCCACCCUGGAUUAGCGCGGGUAUUAAAAAAUGUGGUUAGUGGAUGAGGGCACCAGCUGCUGAGCUGACCCUGCCACGGUAGCCGCAUUGGAUUCUUCAAAACAUUCCGGGCGCGCUCGUGCAGCUGACCGUGCUGCGCUAGCUGUCUUGCACAUGACAGCUCCGGCUCGCUGUCGCCCGGCCCCGGCCGCUCGAGCGCUCGCUGCCGAUCGCCCAAAACGACAAUUUCACGGCACCUGACCGGUGGCGAAGGCAGGAUCAAGCUUGGGUUCUCCUUUCCUUCUUCUUCCUCCCUCCUCUUCUUUUCUUCUUCUUCCUCAUCAAAUUUAUAAGGAUGCUCAAUAAGAUUCACGACGGUAGGAAAGCUCGAGCCCAGACCCAUCGCUGGAUCCGCCCCUGCACCUGACCACCUGAGAACCCAACCUGCGACGCCUGAAGACAGCGCUACUUCUACGUUCUACCAAGGAUGCCAACAAAUUACCAUUCCAACUGCUCUUACAUGCACAAUACAGUGGUAUUGUCAGAAACAAAUGCAUAUCGCAAUGUUGUGAUUGGUGGGGGAAAAAGAGAGGGAAUUCUCUGUUUUGGAUUCCGUUCGAAAUAAGAGAGUAUUUUGCAUUGUGAGCAUUGUCAAAUUUUGCACAUAAGAUUAGGGGGUGUUUGGAUACACCCCACUAAAAUUUAGCACAUGUCACAUCGGAUAUUUGAUGCUAAUUAGAAGUAUUAAACAUAGGCUAAUUACAAAACUAAUUGAACAGAUAGAGUCUAAUUCGCGAGACGAAUCUAUUAAGCCUAAUUAGUCCAUGAUUUGACAAUGUGGUGCUACAGUAACCAUUUGCUAAUGACGGAUUAAUUAGGCUUAAUAGAUUCGUCUCGUGAAUUAGCAUAGGGUUCUGCAAUUAGUUUUAUAAUUAGUUCAUAUUUAGUUCUCCUAAUUAGCAUCUGAACAUCCGAUGUAACACUGCUAAAGUUUAGCACCUAGUAUCCAAACACCCCCUUAGUAAUCUUGUGCUUCAGUAACAGUUGUUAAUCUCUGAACGAGCAAACGCUAGUAGUAGCAGUGAUUCCGUACUGCCCGCUGCGAAGAUCAGCUGGCAGCUGCCAAAAGUGCUGCCAGAUUAUUCGCCCUGCGGGUGAAACCUACUCUCUGCAUCUCACAAAGAGUGUUCGUUUAGCCUUCAAAAGUUGUCCCACAAGAAGUGUUUAUAUAACUUUCAAACCAUCCAACAAAGACCCUCAUAAUACCUUCUGACCCAAUUAAUGAAUGGAAAAAGUUAGCUCGCGCAGAACGCGCGGCCUGCUGCGACCCGUGUCAGGAGAUUGGGCUCACAUUUUCUAUUUCGUUUGCACCAUUGCGCUCCUUACGAUGAGAUCAACAAAACUAAACCCACGAUGCAUAUGUUUUGAAAUAGUUACAAUAUACCGAUAACUUAUGUUGAAUAUACAUUAGUUAUUCUGUAUUAAGUGUAGCAACUUAAAUGUGAAUCUACCAACGAAUUAUAUACAUAAAUUGAUACAACAAGUAAUUUUACCUAGCAUUUCUUACCUAUCUUGAGCAUCCACUGUGCCAUCUUCCUCUCUACAUAAAUUGUUCUGUUGCCCCCUAUAUAAGUUGUUCCAUUUUCUCCAUGUAAAUUGUAAUAGUAUAAAAGUUAUCACAUGCUCUCUACGUGAAAUGAUACUAAUGAUUGUAUAGAAGUUCUUUACAUAAGUAAGCAUGCUACUAGAUAUACAAGUUACUGGACCACACAACAUAGGUUUUUAUAUUUCCAUGCAUCAAUUUCUGCGGAUAAACGAGACAACUUGUUAGUUCUAGAAAUAUAAUGUAAAUAUAAGUUACUAUUGCCACGAUAAAAAUAAGAUUACUUCAAAAUGUAUGGAAAGUGGGUCUCAUUUCAUAGAUAAAAUUGUGAAGAAUAUAAAUGUGGAAAUGAAUUCGAAAGCUAAAGCUUAGUGAGAAAGUUAUCAUCGAAACUGGACAAAAGUAAAUUGCAUGGCAUGAUUUGCUCCAUGUGACGACAAGAAGCUUGUACUGUUACGCAUGCACACGAUUUGUGCUACUCCUAGCGCUCUGCUUGCAUGCACAUAAUUUGGUCUGUGUUAUUUUUUUAAAAAAAUUACUUUGCGCACAUGGGGUGUGAGUCCUAACACUAUGCUUACUUGUACCGUAAUUAGCUCCGCACUUUGCAGGUUCGCGCGAUCACGUUUUGCGCGACGCGUGUCAAUGAAUCGAGCAUUUACUCGAUGAUGUUCGAGCUAUACUUGCUAAAUAAAGAAGACUAAUAAGUUCGAUAAUUAUUGCAAACGUGAAUACUCGUAAUUCAUCCGGUAAAAAAGAGUUAUUACGAUUACCGUGGACGGAGAGGGUACGACCACUACGAAACGGAAAAACUACAGCAGUCUCGUCCUCAGACUUCUCCACGCACUCAGAGAUCCCAAUCCAAUUCCCGAUUGCUACAGCCUCCAACUGACAUAUGGGCCUUGGAACACAGUUCCGUGGGCCCACGCUCUCUCGUUGGCAAGGAGCAGCUGAUAGCUAGCUCCAGCUGCAACCGAAAAGGAAGGAAGGAAGGCGCAAACCAACGGAGCGCAGGCCGGGUCACAGCGCAACGACGCCGCGCGCCCCCGCCGCUGCCCGUUCGGAUCCCGCUCGGCUCCAGCUCGCCCCCGUCCCCACGGACACCACCCGCGCCAACCCUCAACUCCACGAGCCGUCACUGACAUCUAGGCCCAGACUGCCGGGCCCGUGCGCAAGUGGGCGUAAGUGGAUUGGUGUCUCGCAGCCACGGCACACCAGGAUCCAGCCUGGCUCCUCCCACCCCACGGCCCCGGCGUUUCCACACCCGAUUCUUAUACCACCCGCCCAACUCCUCCCCCUCUUAUCUCCCUCGCUCACGACGACGCACCCGCAUUGCGCCCGCCGCCGUCAAUCCCAGCGGAUCAGGCCAAGUUCGCGGGGAUUUCGGGAGGUGUGACAGCAGGAGCAGCACCGGUGGCCAUGGACCCGUGCCCGUUCGUGCGGGUGCUGGUCGGCAACCUCGCUCUCAGAAUGCCGGUGGCGCCGCCGGCCGCCGGCGCCGGCGCGGGCGUCCACCCGUCCACGUCGCCGUGCCACUGCAAGAUCCGGUUAGGAAAGAUGCCGGCUCAGCUCGUCCCGGCACCGCUCGCGCCCUUCGACGGCGGCGAGCAGGCGCCGGCGUCCGGGGCGCUCGCCGCUGCGUUCCAUCUGUCCAAGGCCGACCUGGAGUGGUUCAACGGGAAGCCGUCGCUCUUCUCCUCACGUGGGGAGGCGUGCCUGAAGGUCGCGGUCUACGCCGGCCGGAAGGGGAGCACCUGCGGGGUCAGCUCCGGGCGGCUGCUCGGGAAGGCUACCAUCCCGCUCGACCUCAAGGGCGCCGAGGCCAAGCCCGCGGUGCUGCACAGCGGCUGGAUCUCCAUCGGGAAGAGAGGCGGCAAGGGCAGCCCCGCGGCGGCGGAGCUCAGCCUCACCGUCCGGGCGGAGCCCGACCCGCGGUUCGUGUUUGAGUUCGACGGCGAGCCGGAGUGCAGCCCGCAGGUGCUGCAGGUGCGGGGCAGCAUGAAGCAGCCGAUGUUCACCUGCAAGUUCGGGUGCCGCAGCAACAGCGACCUGCGGAGGCCGGGGAUGCAGCCGGAGCGGGAGGGGGCGUCGGGGAAGGAGCGCAAGGGGUGGUCCGUGACGGUGCACGACCUGUCGGGCUCCCCCGUAGCGAUGGCGUCCAUGGUCACGCCCUUCGUGCCGUCGCCGGGGACGGACCGCGUGAGCCGCUCCAACCCGGGCGCGUGGCUCAUCCUCCGCCCCGCCGGCGACGGCGCCUGGGAGCCCUGGGCGCGCCUCGAGUGCUGGCGCGAGCGCGGCGGCGCCGGCGCGUCCGACAGCCUGGGCUACCGCUUCGACCUCCUCCUCCCCGGCGUCGACCACGCCGUCCCCCUCGCCGAUUCCUCCAUCCCGUCAUCCAAGGGCGGCAAGUUCGCCAUCGACCUCACCGCCGCGCAGCCGCUUAGCCGGGGCGGCACGCCGGGGUGUAGCCCGAGGGGCAGCGGCGACUUCAGCAACUGGCCCCUGGGGAACUACCGCGGGUUCGUCAUGUCCGCCGCUGUCCAGGGCGAGGGCCGGUGCAGCAAGCCGACGGUGGAGGUCGGGGUGGCGCACAUCGGGUGCGCCGAGGAUGCGGCGGCGUUCGUGGCCCUCGCGGCGGCCGUGGACCUGAGCAUGGACGCGUGCAGGCUUUUCUCGCACCGGCUGAGGAAGGAGCUCUCCCACCCGCAGGCCGACCUUCUCCGGUGAGUCGGUGACCCCCGACCCGCCACCGGCCACCGGCGCGGCGACCACGAAUCACGAGCAAAUUGUAAAUAAGUAGUUGCGGCAGAUGCGUGCUUUAGCGUUAGUUUGUUGGAAGUAGUUCGAUUCGGGGUGAUCGGCUAGUUGAUCAAGAUCACCUUUUUUGCGAGCGCGAGCGUGGUGUGGGUGUGAUUUUUUGGUUGGUUGCUUCACUUUAGCCAUGGUAGUAGGACGUCCUCUUUUUUGGAUUUCUAUAAAUCCAGAGCAAUUUGUGAACAAGAAACGAGCUUCCAGUUCGAUUGGAGUUGAACGACCUCGAAUGUGUUAUCGGCUUCUUGCUCGGAUCAAAAUUCUUCAAAAGGGCGGGUUGUUGCGGUAAACCUGCAUCACUGCCUCCACCCCGCGGCAAAGCAUAGAAUCUAAUCUACAUGGUCUCAUUUUGUUUCGCUCUCGCGAGAUCGAAGCAUUUUGAGAAAAUUCACUGCAUGCCGUUUGAAAAUUUAACUCAUCCCCUAUGUGCCUUUGGUGCCACUGAAAAUUUAACUCAUCCCUUACGUGCCGUUACCGUCACAGCACAUUUAUAUGGCUGUUAAACGAAGCUGGAAAAGACAAUAUUGCCCUAGAAUGGAAGAUACAAUCAACAUGCUCUUAUGAGGUAUUUCGUCAAACACAUUGUGGGCGACACCAGCGAAACCACCCUCUUUUAUGUUCAUCCCUCGCAUCUUUCAUCUCUCAUCUCUCUCCGAUGCACUAAGCUGGGACAGGGACUGACGGCGAAGAUGCAGGUGCUGCCGCCAGCCGCAGCGGAGAGGACGCACACUCUGGGUGGUGCUUACCUUAUGGCCGUACCCCGCACGCAUGUAGUUCUCCGUCGAUUUCCUCGCGCCCGCACAAACUCACUGGAGCCACCCGCCAGCUCCCUUGAUUGCAAGUUUGCAACUAAAGGGCUAGUAGCUAGCUGCCGGAUCGAACUACUCUCUAGUUAUAUGGCAGCUCAAGCAAGAAUCAAGCACCUAUGGGUCAGCUACCUCCCCGUAGCUUCGACACAACCAUCCUCGUCACUAGCGUAGCAGACGAACACCGCGGCUCGGCACAUCAGCAGACAUCCGGUCUUUCGUGGCCCGCGCCGGCGUGACCACAUGGACUGGGGCGCCGACGCCGGCGCAGGCUCGCGCCCGAUGGCGGGGCUUGGCAGCGGGCGCCCGGCGCGGCCAGAGAAGGCGGCGUGGCCUUCGGAUCCGGCGGCCGCACACGGCGUGAGGCGACGAGACGCGGGGCCGCCCGGCCGUGGCCAAGGUACUGGAUAGCGUUUCGGCAUGGCAACGGAUUAGCGUCGGUGUAGUGGAUAGCGGACGUCAAGUUCAAAUAGUGCAACUCAGAAAAUUGUCAAAUUUUAGAGGAUAUAUAAUAUUAACAUCAAGUUUACUCAUAAAAAACUUAUAAAAAAAUUAUGAUUUUAAAUUAGCCAUUACAUUUAAUCACAAAUAAAUAGUAUAAUUAAGAUGUAUGGAUAUAUAUUAACGUUAAAUUCCCAUAUCAAUAAAUAAAAAAAUUAUUUUUUAUCCAAUAACCUUUCGUCAUUACCUAAAUAACCAUUUUAAACAUUAUUAUUACCAUUUGAUUCAUAUUCAUAUGUCACUUGAACUGUAAAUAUAACGAAUAGCGACCGCAAUAGCGGACAACAGUGGACACUAAUUCCAAACAUGCUAUCUUAAGUCUGCUACCUUGUAGCGGUAGCUAUGCAUUGUGGGCGCUACGAAUGCUAUUUAGUACCGUGGCCGUGGCCCGCGCGGCGCGUGCCUGCUCGACGGGAGGCGAUGGCGGCGCAGCGCACGCGACACCUCGCGGAGCUUGCCGGCACAGCUCCUCGCGGGCUGUCGGCACGGUGGCGCGCGCGGCAGGUGGCACAGAGCCGCGGUCACCCGCGCCUGAGCACGAAAGUGAGCGUUCCUCGAACUGCUUCGCAAGAGAUCGAGCAGGGGAUGCACGAGCACGGGCGGCGCGGGAUUGAGUGGCGGACCGAGAGGGCAAUUUAAUGCCGUUACUGUAGCUUUUUGCCAAAUGUAACGGUAAUGGCACAUAGGAGAUGGAGUUAAAUUUUCAGUGGCACGGAAAGGAUGAGACAAAUUUGGGUGGCACAUAGAGGAUGAGUUAAAUUUUUAAUGGGCAUUACGGAAUUUUCUCGAGCAUUUUUGGGUUGGCAUGCGACAGUGCCUUUGCAAACAGGUGAGUCCUAGAUCAAGCAGUAGAUCAUCAACACAGCAAUCCAGUCAAUCUCGGCAGAAAGAUUCUCGCGCCUUUGCAAACAGGUGAGUUGUAGAUCAUGAACACUACAAUCCAGUCAAUCUCGGCAGAAAGAUUUUCAAAAGGAGCAAAAGGGAGCGUGAAAGGCUGGGCGAAGGACAGUAGGAGGAGCUGUGCGGAGGGCACGGCAUGGCAGAGGGUGCGUAGAGGUGGUGGGGGAGCACGGCGGGUCGCCAUGCCCCUCCGGCGCGGGCCAGCGGCAGUGGGCGCGCGCCGACGCCCACCACUCGUUGGCUUGGGCGUGGUGGGGGCAGUGGAGUGUGCGGGGGCGCUAGUGAUGACCAGUCUAGUGCUGGUGAGUUUGUUGGGAUUGGCGCCCAGCUGUGCAGGGCAUGCUACUCCUUUUCGUUCGGCUGUCUGCUUAGCUGGGUCCGCUCCUUCCGGGCAAAAAGGAAUCCAACGCAACCACUCUUGGUACCAUGCCACCAGUCAGAGUGUAGAAGCAGAUGGAGGGGGUGGCAAUGUGGCAUCAAGGGUUGACGGAGGACUGCGUUAAAAUCCCGCUCUUGUUUGCACAUUGCACACAGCUUUUGUAACACAUAAAAAAUGAGGAGGAUCUUAGUCGUUCCCAUGCAUACCCGACGCGAGAGUUUUAGCAGGUCGCGUGCAAACACGGCAUGGUUAGGCUUCAACAAGUUCCAAUGACCACUGUUGCCGGCGAGUAAGUCUUUAGGUCUAUUGAAGCUUGAAUUUGUGGCCUUCAUUGAACCCCGGGCUUACAGGAACAGCUAAACCAAAUGAAGUGGACUAUGUUGAAAUUCAGUUCAUAUUAUGUGCGCACGUCUCCUAUACCACCACACAGACGGUGAGCAUUUUUAGUCUGACCCCGUGCUAGCAAAGAUUGGUUAGGGUUACAUGCUUCCGCGAGCUCCACUGUUGACUAGCGGGGAUGUUGCAAGCUCCACCGUCUCACGGUCUUCAAUGACCCUACUAGGCUAAACCAAAUGAAGAGCAUGUACGAUGGAGGAUUGGGCUGAAAUUUGGUUUAGGUUUACGUGCACAAACCUCCUAUAUCUUACCCGCCUAAGGGCAGUCCCAACCCAAUGACUACGAUGGUGUCCAUAGAAUUAAAUGAGCUGCCACCUAAGAUAAAAGAUGAUGGUGUCCAUAGUAUUACUCUCCGGAGGUCCGAACCUGUCUAAACCUUGCGUCCCUGUGUUACCAUUCGAGUUCUUAUCUCACGAUCUCCCCCACCUACAAAUCUACCACCUGGGGAACCCCUGUUGGACUGCUGGUCACUAAAUCCGACUGUUUAAAAGAUGAUGUGGCAAGGGAGUAGAUGAAGAAAGAGAAGAAAACCAGGUCUUGUAUGAGACCUAGUAUCUACACACCAUCCAACACAUCAUGAGAGAUGUGCAGUAUUAAAUUAAGUAUGGAAUAGUGAUAUUUGCAUUGGAAGAGUAGUGUUUAGUACUAGUUUCUUGAUGAUGUGGAGCUUAUGGAAACUAUGGCUAGUGUCUUGGGUUGGAACUGACUAAAAAUGGCAAGGAUUCUAUUCAAUCCCAUGCCAAAACAUAGCUUGGUUAGGGUUUUAGGCUCUAGCAAGUGAGCUCAUUGAUGCGGGGCGUCUCCUAUGGUCUAGCUUAGAGAUAGCUUAACCAAUUUUUUACUAGUUUAACAGUGCAAUAAGUAUGAGACUAAUUUGGAGUGAAGAGCUAGUCUCGCUCACUUCUCGAUGCAACUCUCUCUCACAACACGAUCUUCAAAGCUAGCAUGUACAUGAAACCUACAUCAACUAUGAGCUAUCAACUAACUUAUACCAUUGGAGAAACCCCAAAGAAGUUUGGAGGGGGUCCAAGAAGGGGGCUUUUGUGGUGUUCAAUAAUACAUGGGCUUGGAUGGCCACAGAGGUAUGGGUGGGAGUUGGGCACUCAAAGAGGCAUUAGGUGUGAAGGAGUGAGUGAGGUGUGGAAAAUAUAAUCGCUCCGGUUACAUUAAGAUCCUACGUACAAUUGUCAUUAUUAGCCGAUAAGAAAUAUUUAUACUCUAGCUUCGAUGCGAUGUUUUUGAUUAGGUUAUUACCAUAAACCUUCGUGCUUCCUAUGCUAGAAUCAAUCUCAUUUUGGAAUGAAUCUCAUUUUGGAAUUUACCACCUUUGAUUAUUGCUCCCGACCAUCUCUUGCACGAAACACAACUUGAUUCAUAAUUUGAGAUCCUACACGCUUACUUCUGAGGGGAACCUACGUGCUCGGGUUUACGUGGCAGCUAGUAAUAUUGCUUGCUUUGCUUGUGGACGCGCAUAAAAAGUUUUGCAUCCUGCACCAGUAGUUUACUGGUUUUGAGAAUACACAUGGCCAUGCAUGGCAUUCUAUAAUUUCUCCGAGCAAACGGUGGAGCAAGAUCCGCGGCGCCGCCGCCGCCCCUACCAGAGCCAGUCGUCCAGCACUGAUUUGUUGCUUGAUCACGGAGAAAACGAUGCGCGCGCUGGAGGCGGGCGUCCGACGCGACGACAGUUGAAAGCCCCCCGGCGCAUGGCCAACCAUACAAGAAACAACACAAGGUUUAUCUGGUUGGUUGUUGCUAGCCACAGCCAGGAACGCGUCCUAAUCACGCCAGCUCACGCCUCUCUGUAUCAUAACGAUGAGGCCGAGAUGAAGAAGCCUGCGGAGUCCCCCGCAACGGACGACGGGCCCGGUCGCGAUCGCCUACCCCGGACUCGGACGGACAUGAUGCCACGCUGGCUCAACACCGCACGGCACCCUACUACUCCAUCAAGCUCUCGAUCCGGACCCCGUACGAGAGGCGCGCCGUAGCUUUCGGCCCGAGCUGGCUGUUGGCUGGCAGUCCCCGCUGGCUGCGGUGCGACCGGCCACGGACGACACGCGCGAAGAGCAGACGCAGCGGAUCCGAUCAUCAUCCCUGUGGCUGCCGUCAGCCCCGUGUCACGUACACGUACGUUACGUGGUACGGCGCCGCUUGGGCUCGGCCUGCCGGGAUCGUCUGUGCCGCCGCGAGCCGGAGCCGCAGCGACACCGCGUCGGCGUGGGUGAUACGGCGACAGCGGUGUAGAACAAUCGCCAGACGCCAGCUACGUCGUGUCGUCGUCGAUGGAUCGAUGGAGUGGCCAUCGCGUUAUGGGCGGCCGUACCAACUGAUGUGCAUGUCACAUAAACCUGCAGGCUACUGUUUCGCUGUGCUCUCGCGCUUUCGGCAGUGUGCUGCAUGGGCACCUACCUAUACAGUUUAAUUUCGUGCCGGGACACGGACGACGUACGGCGGCAGAAGUGUCUGGGCCGAGCGUGACGACAGCUAACGAUGGAGAGCGGCCGGUGCCGACUGCGUUGCGUCGGCGAAGGCAGGAGCAGUCUGGCGCCGCGGCGCUUCAAAGCCUGCAGUUAGCUCGACCGCCACGAGAAUACGGGAUGCGCCUUGCCGCCUCGAUGCAUGCAGAGAUCGUGGAAUGUAUGCUGCAGCUUUUUUGUUUUGAAGUAAGAUGCCGCAGCUUUGCCAAUGUGGCAAUGUCAGCUCGCGGCUUCAUUUUGAUGAUCCCUGCUGAACCAAUUCGGCAAUUCGCCAACCAAAGAAAUGGGCCGCCCGUAAGCCCAACAUGGAUCCUCAAAGGCCCAGCUUUAACAUUUAGGCCUACACGUUUGAGAUCGAUUUGCAAACUCAUACUUAAAAAAAAAACA
rnacentral:lncRNA from 1 species